AAUAGUCUUUUAAUUGAAGGCUGGAAUGAAUGGUCGGACAAAAUACAAGCUGUCUAAAAUUUAUAUUUUGAAUUUUACUUUUAAGUGAAAAGGCUUAAAUUAUUUAAAGUGACGAUAAGACCCUAUAAAGCUUUAUAUUAGUAAGAUUGAUUUUAUAUAUAAGGUGUAAAUUUAAUUUUUCUUAAGAUAUUGCAUUGGGGCGAUGUAAAUUUAAUAGAUAACAGUUGUUAAUUAAAAAUAAAUGAUAUUUAGAAAAGGAGAUCCUUUAUAAAGAUUAUAAGAAAAAGUUACUUUAGGGAUAACAGCGUGAUUUUUUCAGAGAGUUCAUAUCGAUGAAAGUAGUUGCGACCUCGAUGUUGAAUUAAGAUUUCUUUAAGGUGUAGCCGCUUUAAUUGUAGGUCUGUUCGACCUUUAAAAUCUUA
rnacentral:rRNA from 1 species